rnacentral:rRNA from 1 species
CCCUUAGAUGUUCGGGGCCGCACGCGCGCUACACUGAAGGGAUCAGCACGUCUUUCUCCUUGUCCGAAAGGACUGGGUAACCCGCUGAACCUCCUUCGUGCUAGGGAUUGGGGCUUGUAAUUCUUCCCCAUGAACGAGGAAUUCCCAGUAAGCGCGAGUCAUAAGCUCGCGUUGAUUACGUCCCUGCCCUUUGUACACACCGCCCGUCGCUACUACCGAUUGGAUGGUUUAGUGAGAUCCUCGGAUUGGUCCCGGCGCGGCCUCUGGUCGUGCCGGAGUGCCGAAAAGAAUGUCGAACUUGAUCAUCUAGAGGAAGUAAAAGUCGUAACA